GAUGGAACUCAAAACAACCUGUUUUGCUUUGUUUAGGCUUAUUACACUUCGCUUUGAUAUGUGUGGGUGAAUGAACACCGAAAGUGCAAUCCAAGCUUAUUCGUCCUCCUUCUAUUGAGAUGGAACCAAAACACCUAUGCUUGAAUUGGGCUUAUAACGAACAUUUCACUCUUCGAUUUUUGGGUAAGUGUGCAUUUUAAACCCAAAAACACCAAUUUGAAAUAAGCCCAAUCAGAGCUUUAUUGUCUUCUUUUUAUGUAGAUGGAAGCCAAAAGACCUUUUUGCUUUGGUUGGGGUGAUUCUGGUGCACACCCAAAAAACACCAUGCGAAUUGAAAUAAGCCCAAUCAAAGCUUAUUCUUCUUCUUUCUACGCAUAUGGAAGCGGAAAGAUGGUGUUUUGUUACUUUGGUCUGAUUAAAUACACUUUGCGAUUUCUGGGUAAAUGUGCAUUAACUCCAAAGAAAACGACUUUGAAAUAAGCGAAAUCCAAGAGGCCUCUUUCUAUGUAGAUGGAACUCAAAACAACCUGUUUUGCUUUGUUUAGGCUUAUUACACUUGUUUAGGCUUAUCACUCUGUUAUUUGUGGGUGAAUGAGCACCGAAAGUGCAAUCCAAGCUUAUUCUCCUUCUAUUGAUGUGGAACCAAAACACCUAUGCUUGAGUUGGGCUGAAAAACAUUUCACUCUGCGAUUUUUGGUUGAAUGUGCAUUCUAACCCCAAAAACACCAAUUUGAAAUAAUCCCAAUCAGAGCGUUAUCAUCUUCCUUUUAUGUAGAUGGAAGCCAAAAGACCUUUUUGCUUUGGUUGGGGUGAUUCUGGUGCACACCCAAAAAACACCAUGCGAAUUGAAAUAAGCCCAAUCAAAGCUUAUUCUUCUUCUUUCUAUGCUAUGGAAGCGGAAAUAUAGUGUUUUGUUAUUUUGAUCUGAUUAAAUACACUUUGUGAUUUCUGGGUCAAUGUGCAUUAAAACCAAAGAACACGACUUUGAAAUAAGCGAAAUCCAAGAUGCCUCUUUCUAUGUAGAUGGAACUCAAAACAACCUGUUUUGCUUUGUGUAGGCUUAUUACACUUCGCUUUCUUAUUUGUGGGUGAAUGAACACCGAAAGUGCAAUCCAAGCUUAUACGUCCUCCUUCUAUUGAGAUGGAACCAAAACACCUAUGUUUGAUUUGUGCUGAUAACAAAUUUCCCUCUGCGAUUUUUGGGUCCAUGUGCAUUCUAACCCCAUAAGCACCGAUUUGAAAUAAGCCCAAUCAGAGCGUUAUCAUCUUCCUUUUAUGUAGAUGGAAGCCAAAAGACCUUUUUGCUUUGGUUGGGGUGAUUCUGGUGCACACCCAAAAAACACCAUGCGAAUUGAAAUAAGCCCAAUCAAAGCUUAUUCUUCUUCUUUCUACGCAUAUGGAAGCGGAAAGAUGGUGUUUUGUUAUUUUGGUCUGAUUAAAUACACUUUGCGAUUUCUGGUCAAUGUGCAUUAAAACCAAAGAAGACGACUUUGAAAUAAGCGAAAUCCAAGAUGCCUCUUUCUAUGUAGAUGGAACUCAAAACAACCUGUUUUGCUUUGUUUAGGCUUAUUACACUUCGCUCUGUUAUUUGUGGGUGAAUGAACACCGAAAGUGUAAUCCAAGCUUAUUAGUCCUACUUCUAUUGAGGUGGAACCAAAAGACCUAUGCUUG
rnacentral:lncRNA from 1 species